UCGUGCUUUCUUCAUUCGCAGUGGUUCCUUUCUGAGUGCGUGGUACUUUAGUUUUUUGCGUCUUUUUUCCUACUGAUUGAGCCUACUGUGUUGCGUUUGAACUACGAAAAUGAGUGCUUUUAAAUGCGAAGUGUGUGGGCAAGAGUAUAAUUACAGAAAAAAUCUCAGUCAACAUGUUUACACAAAAACAUCAACAGGAGCUUGCUGUUGCCACUGAAGCGCCUAUAGCUUCUUAUCAGUGCUACGUGUGAGACAAAAAUUUUUCUCUUAAAAGUAAUUUGUAUCACCACCAACGAAAUAUUUAUGCUUUUGCAGGAAGUGUACAUCGUGCCCAUUUGAAAGCAGUUCAAAACGGGGUUGGAUAGAUCAUUUACAAACUGCUCAUGAAAUUCAAGUUAAUUCCGAAGAUUUGCAAUUCUCAAAUGAAGAUGAGUUUUUACAGUGGAAUGAAGACACUGAACGCAGACACAUUCAAAGUUUAUUAAAACGCAUGGAUCUUCUAGCUAUACACAUUAUUAUGGUUGCCGUCGGUCAGAUAUCUUUAUCUCCAAAGCCACAGCGUCGCGUAUCAAAACAGACACUGGCUGUCCAUGUCGGGGAGCGACUGCUGUGGAGUUGAACCUCGUAUUAUCUACACGUUUAUCACUGUCUAAGUCACUGCUGUAAAAGUAGGACAUGCAGUGAAAGCCUAGCGUUCCUAUGGCCGACAGAGCUUCAGUUGGCCGCCGCUCUUGCCACACGGUGAUUAUGGAAACUCCAGUGCAACUCGCCUUGGCACUCCUAAUCAUAGGAGGAAUGAUAAGAGGAGCCUUUCUCUCAGGAGAGGAAAACAUAGAUAUGGAACGACUUUGUUUUAGUGCUGGAAUAGAUAAUGCUGGAAUCCAUUCUGGUUAUACAAGCUGCAAACAACAAACAUGUAAAGAAGAGUGCAUGAAGAAUGACUUCCAUGGAGGAAGAUGUUUUUGUGGAAGUUGCAAUUGUUAUAUAUACUAAUUUAGUAGUGAUCCUGGGAUUUCUUAAAACCCAAAUCUAAUGUUUUCUUUUUUUUUAAAGCAUUUCAUAAAAUAUUAUGAAUUUGUAAUCUUAUAGUUCAGAAUAAAUGUUAUAUUACAGUUUGA